AAAGGAAUAGACGGGGGCCCGCACAAGCGGUGGAGCAUGUGCUUUAAUUCGAUGCAACGCGAAGAACCUUACCUGGGCUUGACAUACCACUGACUCCUGCAGAGAUGUGGGUUUUUCUUCGGAAACAGUGGAUACAGGUGCUGCAUGGUUGUCGUCAGCUCGUGUCGUGAGAUGUUGGGUUAAGUCCCGCAACGAGCGCAACCCUCGUCCUUAGUUGCCAGCACGUAAAGGUGGGAACUCUAAGGAGACUGCCUGCGCAAGCAGGAGGAAGGUGAGGAUGACGUCAAAUCAUCAUGGCCCUUACGUCCAGGGCUAGACACGUGCUACAAUGGUCGGUACAAAGGGUUGCUAGCUGGUGACAGUGUGCUAAUCUCAAAAAACCGAUCUCAGUUCGGAUUGGAGUCUGCAACUCGACUCCAUGAAGUUGGAAUCGCUAGUAAUCGCGGAUCAGAACGCCGCGGUGAAUCCGUUCCCGGGCCUUGUACACACCGCCCGU
rnacentral:rRNA from 1 species